UGCCCUCCCUUGCCUCCUGGCUACCUACGCCACUGAAGAAUAUAAAUGAAAAAUACAAAAUAAAUAAAUAUAGAUGAAGAAUUAUUGAUACCUUCACAGAUGAGGAUGCUGGAACCGGCCACGGGAACGAGGGAGCGGCGGCGAGUCACGAGGCUAGAAACGGCAGGAGUCGUCGCGAGGAUGCUGAAAUCGGUGAGUCACGAGGCUGGAACCGGCGGGAGUCGUCAGCGAGGAUGCUGAAAUCGGCGAGUCGUCGGCAGGCGGGGAGAUUCAAACGGACGAGCGCGAGAUGUAAUUUGAGACAAACGAACGCGAUUCUGUCGAUUUAUUUAUUUUAUUAAACCCCAAUCCUUUCCUGGCGGAUUUCCUUCCGGGAAAUGGGGAAAAGUUCAUCCAAUCGAAACUAGGGCAGACUUUUUCCGUCCGAAUCCCCGUCAGGAAAUGUCAAUUUAAUCGGGUUUAAUUUGAAGGGGAUUUCGAAAUUUUGGACGGGAUUUCGAAAACCGACAGAGGAAACUACAAAAAUCCGCCUUCUUGCCCAUGCCUUGCCCUGAUGGAUUGUAACAAUUGAUAACAGAUUUCCUCCAUCAAAAGUACUGAACUUGUCAUGACGGAAAUCCAUCACUAUAAGUCCGCCACUAUAAGUUCGUCAUAUAAUAUCUUUUUUUUGUAGUGGUUAUUUCAUUUCAAGUCAAUAUUGUUUGUUUGUUUGUUAGUUUAAUUCAAUCUUCAAUUCAUUCAAUUACAAUAAAAUCUAUUUGUUCAACUCUAUCUUGUCUCUGUUCAUUUGGUAUUAAUUUCAAUUCUGUUGGUUUCC
rnacentral:lncRNA from 1 species